rnacentral:rRNA from 1 species
GAACGAACGCUGGCGGCAUGCCUAACACAUGCAAGUCGAACGAGACCUUCGGGUCUAGUGGCGCACGGGUGCGUAACGCGUGGGAAUCUGCCCUUGGGUUCGGGAUAACAGUUGGAAACGACUGCUAAUACCGGAUGAUGACUUCGGUCCAAAGAUUUAUCGCCCAGGGAUGAGCCCGCGUCGGAUUAGCUAGUUGGUGAGGUAAGAGCUCACCAAGGCGACGAUCCGUAGCUGGUCUGAGAGGAUGAUCAGCCACACUGGGACUGAGACACGGCCCAGACUCCUACGGGAGGCAGCAGUGGGGAAUAUUGGACAAUGGGCGAAAGCCUGAUCCAGCAAUGCCGCGUGAGUGAUGAAGGCCUUAGGGUUGUAAAGCUCUUUUACCCGGGAUGAUAAUGACAGUACCGGGAGAAUAAGCCCCGGCUAACUCCGUG